ACUCCCCUGCUGCUGCAGCUAUCUCUUUGUCCCUCUGCAUCUUGGUGUGGCCUGCUUAGCAUCUAGACACCGAAGCUGUUUAACUUCCUAAAGCUCAGUCCCUUCCAGGAUGCAAGUGGUCAUAAAAAGAGAACUGAAAUAUAGGCAUACAUCGGAGAUAUUAAGUGUUCUGUUCCAGGCCACCACAAUAAACCAACCUACAGGACGGUGGUUCUAUAAGUGAGGAAACUGAAGUUCAGCAAGAGUGAGAGAGCUGUCCAAGGUUACAGACCCAGUAAGUGAUGAGUCAGGAUCUGAUCCAAAGUCUGACUCUAAAGCGUAAGGUCUUUAUUUUUCUAAAUUUAUGUGUU